UCAAAGAGGAACCAUUCUUAUAUGGAGAUGAGGCAUCUCCAAAUCAACAUCUUCCUGGUUUAACAUGCAAGACAGAAGUAAAAGUUGAGGCUCCAGACGUCCACCUUAACUCCACACAAGACAUUUCUGCUUUGUUGUUAAAUCAGUUUGUCAAAGGUGGGUCAGCAACGGCAUCAGGAGAUGCUGCUGGCGGCGCUGGCGUCUCUGGGGCGUACAGCUCCACAUAUAAGCCUGUACAAUGCUCUGAGUGUGAUUAUGCUUGUAGCACAAAAGGGGCUUUGAAAAGUCAUAUCCUUUACAAACAUCCACUAUAUAAGCUUGUACAAUGCUCUGAGUGUGAUUAUGGUUGUAUCACAAAAGUGGAAUUGAAGAGACAUUUCCUCUUCAAACAUUCAACAAAAAAACCUGUACUAUGCACUGA